AGUAACUAACUAAUGGAUAAGGCAUUGGCUUCCUAAGCCAGAGAUUGUGGGUUCAAGUCCCACCU
rnacentral:tRNA from 1 species